GCCAGAUUCCUUUCCCAGCCUUCCUCAACUUUGUGACUGAAUUUUAGCCCAUAGAUUGUGAACAGAAGCUAUGCACGUUACUUUGGAGAUGAGAUGAGUAAGAAGUGGGUACACCUUCUCUCCCCUUUAUGUCUUCCUGCUGAGGGCCAUGAAGCCUAGGAGAGGAAGGAACCCCAAGUUUAAAAGGAUAUGGAUCCUUGAAAUACUUCUUGGAGGACAGCUGCCUGCCAUUCUGAAAUGUUUGCGCCAGCUUCAUCCUUGCCAGGCACCACAUUUCUCUCUCUGAAGUAUGAGAAACCAAGCAAACUCUCCUGAAAUCAGCAUAUUCCAUUGCAAGCGCCCAGCCACUGACAGUCACAUGAGCAGUACGCCGAGCAGCAGAGCGGGUUUUCAAAUAUUCUGGCCAAGAACAGUUCCAAGGGCAGAGCCGAGGCACGCCACGCAGCUCACAUAAAGAAAAUUCCAUGCAUUUUCCACGGGCUGCUUCAAGAUACCCCACAGAAAGAGACCAAGGCGUUGCUGAAUCAAUUCUAGAGACAGGAAGGAACCUCCUAAAAAGAAAUAGCUCUUGGUCUCCUGCAAGGUGAAAUGUGUGCCUCAGAUCUGCAAAUGAAAGAGGAUCACAAACAUAUGGUUAAUGACUCAUCCCAAAUGGAAAAACAGAGUUUGUUAUAUUUUAUGGAGAUUUUACAUGUUGAAGGUACAUCUGUUGCUAUUUAUGCUGACAUGUAUGUAGAGAUUGGCAGACCAAGUCCUCUGUAGGGAUGAGCGAAAUCCAAACCAAACCACAGAACUUUCUAACUUGGAGGCUGGCUCCUGGGAUGGAAAACGGUUUCCUGAUCCCUUGAAACACUGCCCGGCUGAGCAGGGUGACUUGGAGAGGCCCACAUCACAGGACUGCACAGUUGGAUGAAGCAACAAAACGUCCUGCUUUGCUCAGGGCCUCCAGAGAGCGCAGAACAAAGGCAGGAAGCACGAGGGGUGCUGGAGAGCGCGGGGACCAGUCUCACAGCCUUCUCAGGACUCAACGCCUUCUUGGGGGACUGCUUCAGGCAAAAGAGACCACUUCCAUUCUGACACGAACGCACCACCCAGAAUCACACGAAACCUACUCCCUUUAGAUCUGCUAGUGACAUUCUCUAAGAGAAUGUCCAUGUGCUCUCACAGACAUUUUUUUUUUUUCCAGUUGAGAAGCUCCGGAGUACAGGAGAAACAACAGGUAAAUAAGCAACGAUACGACAAGGCUGAAGAGACAAGUGCCCUGAGAGUGUUGUGGGCUGAACGGUGUCCCCCCAAAUUCAUAUGUGGAGGCCCCAACCCCUGGUACCUCAGAAUGUGACCGUAUUUGGAGACAGAGUCUUUAAAGAAGUAAUGAAGUUAAAAUGAGGUCAUUAGGGAGGGCCCUAAUCCAAGUGUCCUUAUAAAAAGAGGCAAUUUGGACAGAGACAAGUACAGAAGGAAGACUGUGUGAGGACACAGGGAAAAGAUGACCAUCUACAACCCAAGGAGACAAGCUUCAGAAGAAACAGCCCUUCUGACACCUUGAUGCUAAAUAUCUAGCCUCCAGAACUGUGAGAAAAUAAAGUCCUAUUGUCUGAGUCACCCAGUCUGUGGUCCUUUGUUAUGGCAGCACAAGCAGAUGAGUGCAAGUCAACCAGAUAACGUGCUCUGAGAAUCCAGAGGUGGAAGAGAAGAUUUUGGUUUGGUGGGAUCAAAAAACAUCGUCUGGAAGAGGGAGCACAUUAAUUAUGGCGUGAGAGAUGGGUAGAGUCUGCUCCUGCACUGACAGCAAGGCUGAAUAAACAGAAUCAGAAGCUCAACUUGCUUAUACAGACCUGCCCAGGGCAGCAUUCGCAGUCCCCAGGGAGUCCUCCACAUCAUCCACGGGGAAGUUCUCCCCACUCUUGUGGCCAGGGCUCCGCCGCGGCAUACACGGUCCUCGCUGUCUGAUCCUUUCCAACAGUCAACUCUACUCCAGAUUCAGAUAACCAUGAUCCUGCCCUCCGGAAGUCAGAAAAGAAUGAAUAACUUUGAACACAUCACAGCAAUAAAAAUAUAAGAAUAAUGCUGGGGUCAUCACAAACAGAGGCAGAUGGUGGUGGCAUUUCCUUCUUGCCGGGAGCUCAGAUAUUAUCUGGAUAGAUUUCAGCAGGCUUUGUGUCCAUUCCCUCUCAGCGCGGGCAGCUUUCCUGGAUAGAGCCCCAGCCACCCAAACGGCAGACAGAUUUGAUUUAACUGCGAUGACUUGUGUAUCGGGUGACUUUGGAUGGUUUAAAACAAUGGCCUGUGGAAUCUACUUACACAGCACUAUGGGAAUGAGGAUGAAGGGUCAUAUCCAUGGUUAAUCCGAUCAAUUGUCUGCUACACACAGAGAAAGAACCGAGCUUGCCUGCAAACUGGCUCAUUCAGGAUGUGAGCACAAGAUGGAAUUCAACCUUUAAUAUGCUGCAACACCUGCUUGGAAAUAAAGGGGCUCUGUGCUUUUCCCCCCAAGGAGUUGACAGCUGACUUCAUUACAGAGGAAUCUGGCAGAGAUGGCCGUGGCUACUCCUCAGCCUCCGGAGGCACUCACCCAGGAAUGCAGUGCCAACCAGACCUGAGCUUUGGGAUUCUGCCAGAAACCCAUGCUGGGCCAUUUUACCCUAAAUCAUUCCUCUUCCUUGAACUCUAGGAGUUUUUCUACCUUUGGUAGAGCUGCCUCCAGACAAGGGAGAUGAGAAGAGGCUCUGGCCUGCUGACGCUAAGUGGAGAAGCAUUUGCAGGUGUUCUCCAAUGGGAUCUGGAUUUUCAAACUUUCUUUCUCAAGGGUUCUGCAAUGUUGCACCCCAACAGGCACAAAGGCAGGGCUGCCAUGCUCUACAGAGUGGAACUUGAAGAUUCAUCAGAGACCUUGUCCAAGAUUUGGAACAGACCCAGCGUUGUUCCAAGGAACCUAACCCAGCCUGUGAGAGACUCCUACAGGCCGUCUCUGGUGCCACAACCUUCCAUUGGGGCUGGAACACUGGUUAUGCUUAUGAGCUUUCAAAGUAGAAUGUCAACCUCAUCACCCAUUUGCAUGAUUUCCAAAGCAUAUUAAUCUGGCUUCCACUAGUAACACAGAAUAUAACAUAUCUUACUUGCAACAGGAAAUAUUUCCUUUCUACUAUUUGCUAUUCUUCAUCAUUAAAAAAAAUCUGUCUGAAAUCUAAAUACCCAGAAAGAGGGGUGGGCUCACAGGGAACACAACCAUUUGGUGGAUCACUGCUCAACCUGAAGCAACAGAAAUAUGAAGGCCACAGAGCAACUUCAAAACUGCAUUUGAUGCUAAUUUAAAACAAAGUACUACUCAAACUUUCAUAGAUGAAAAUCACAUAAUUUUUAAACAAAUACUUUAAAUAGUCUGAAAUGAGAAAUAAUUGAUGCCAAAGGUCAAAACUGGCAAUCCAAGAGUUGGGUCUGGCCCGAAAGUGUGUCUCAUAUGGCCCACACGGUGGGGGUCAGCUGAGUUUGAAUAAAAAACGGAGUAGGUUGCCAACAUUUAGAAAUUGGCACAUGGCACAUAACCACCCGGAUUGCUGCCUUCUCCUGAGACACUGGGCAAUCUGGCCUCGGCAGGCUGCUUUCCCUCCAGGCAACAGUUGGGGGCAGGUGAUGGGCAUUUGUCAUCCAGGUUGCCAGAGUCCCUGCUGGGCCAGAUUUCUCGCUCAUUGAGUUUGUAAGCCUGGCCCAGGUGCAAGGGUGGUAGGGUUCUGGGUCAUUUUCCCUCUCUCCCCUUCUUCCAAAACUUGCUCUUGGUUAUUAUGCUACUUCAGAGUUAAAAUAAUCAUUAAAUGCCCAGUUGUAAAAGGUAAUGUGGAGGAAGAGAGUCUGAGGCCCAUACUACUUCUCUACUUCUUGGAUGUUAUUUUCACAUUUCUAGCCUUACGCCCAGUGCACUCGCUUGAGAAUGUGAGCGUGGCCCCGUGGUUCUCGAACGUGGCUACACUAGAAUCACCUGGGGCACUUUUGAUGUCCAGCUUGCACUCCAGACCAAUUAAAUCAGACUCUUGGGAAGUGGGAUUCAGGCAACAGAUUUUUAAAGUUCCCAGGUGAUUCCAAUGUAAAAAGGUCCUUGAAAAAAUCAUGGAAAACUUUAUGUUAGAGCAGUUUCUCAAGCUCGUCACUAUUUUCAUUUGGGACCUGAUAAAUCUUAUUUCUGGGGACCAGUCCUAUGGACUGUAGGAUGUUUAGCAGCAUCUCUGGCCUCUACCCAUAGAUGCAGUAGCAUUUCUCCAGAUGAGAACCACGGCAUUCGAUAGUGAAACUAUGGUCAUUUUUUUUUUAAAGAUUUUAUUUUUUUCCUUUUUCUCCCCAAAGACCCCCGGUAGAUAGUUUCUUUGUUGUGGGUCCUUCCAGCUGUGGCAUGUGGGACGCCACCUCAGCGUGGCCUGAUGAGCAGUGCCAUGUCCGCGCCCAGGACUCGAACCAAUGAAACACUGGGCCGCCUGCAGUGGAGUGCGUGAACUUAACCACUCAGCCACGGGGCCAGCCCCCGAAACUGUGGUCAUUGUAUUGGCCACUUGCCUGUAUAUAAGGUCACUGAGAAAUUUCUCUUGGAAUUAAAAUCUAGGAACAAAAUUUUUCUCUUAAGAAAGUGGUUCCCUUUUGUUGUUUUUUUCCCCUUUACUAUCAGGAAGCUCAAAGCCAAUGCUAAAAUGCAUUCAAAACCAAAACUAAAGCAGAAACAAGACAACUACUCCAGUGUGUUUUCUCCCCUCUGCAUGUCUGCCUGAUGCUAAUUUUCCUAUUAACGUUUUGUUAAUCUUUAAGUUGCUUUACAUUCUUAGGGAAUAAAGUAGGAAAUAAAUAUAAAGAAGGUAACAAGCAAAAGGAGGGAAUGACUGUUCCAUGCACUGCUUGGUAUUUAUGACCCAAAGAACAGUUGGUCAUAAGGAAGACCUGCUAAAUUUGAAUGACCUCAUAGUUUUUGGAGGAUCAGCCAGGCAUACAUGGCAAAUAAGGGUCAACCCCUUUAGCCUCCAGCUUUGUCUGGGAAGAGGCUGAGCUAUGGGGGUGUUGAAGGAGCCCAAUGGCCACCAUGUGGUGGCCUCUAGGAGAAUAAGCACAAGCUUCUGUUGUUUCCUGAGAAUGCCACCUCCUGCUGUUUACUAGGAGUCUGGGAAGUGUCUGAGAGGCGAUGCUGUUCAGGGCAACCUGGGAUCCAGCCCUGGGAUAACACCAUCACCUGCUUUCCGUGAAUGAAGAGCAGAUUACUUUUAGUAAAUACAACCACUCAUUAAUAACCCUAAGUUUUAAAGCUUUUAAAGAAAUCAUUAUUAAGUGUGGCUACUUCAUUUUAAAUGCAAAAACCUUGAAUAGACCAGAGAUCUUAAUUUUUUUAAAGAAGCUGAGUAUUUUAAUUAUGAAUGUACUUGCAUAUUCUUAGCAUACUUCAUUAUUUAUGUAGCCGGUGAAAAAGCUUUCUAAUUAAAUAGCAUGCUGGCAAUCCAUUGUGAAAUGUAUAAAUGCAGGUUUUCCUAGCAUUAAAAAACUACACACAAACACACACGAACCAUUCUGGCAAGCACACAUCCUUUAAUCGCUAUGAGAUACUUGUUUCUGAAUGAUCUUAAGCUUUAUCAAACUUUUGUUUUAUUGGUAACAAAAUAAACAGUAUAAUUUGCCAGCACUCUGCAUGGUUAUACACAUUUAAUACAUUCAACUAACUUGGAAAUGGGGUAGCACAGUGGUUCUCAAAGUGCGGUCCCCAUGCCGGGAGCAUCAGCAUCACCUGGGAACUUAUUAGAAAUACAAAAUUUUGAACCCCACCCCCCGCCACCUGAAUCAGCAGUUCUGGGGAUUGGGCCCCACCCUGUCCUGUAACAAGCCCUCCAGGUGAUCCUGAGGCAGGCUAAAGUUUGGGAACCAUGGGGAUGAGGACUAUGCCUUGUGGUGC
rnacentral:lncRNA from 1 species